UACAUAACAAAGGGUGAAGAUGAUAAUCGUACAAUACAUAAAGUUGCAGCAAUUGAGAAUUGCCUGUAAAGUUAAAAAUCAAAUAGUACUUUGAAGUAAUUUUCUUAUAGGCUCUGCAAACAAAGCAAUACAGUGUUCCCUCGCUGUAUUUCACCUCUUGCGGAUUCAGUGCAUUGCAGAUUUUUUUUUUCAUAUUCAUAUCACGCAUAAUUCGCCAUAUCGCAGGAUUUUGAGCAUAUACUGUAAUUUUUUUAGUGGUGAAAUAAAUGCUUCCUUGCUUAAAACAAUUUCAACUGAAAAAAAAAAAUAUAUAUAUAUAUAACACAUUUGUAAUUUUCCCGUGCAUGUGCAUUUUUUUCCCCCAUUUUUUAUUAUUAUUUUUUUACAAUCAAAAGUCAAUAGAGGCAUUAUACAUCCAGGAGAUAUAAGGAAAAUUCAAAGUAUAUAUAUUUCACAUUGUAUAAGCGUAUUCUGGUACCUAGGGUUUGUGAAAAAAGUGUACUUUCAUUCAAAUUUCAUGAUAUGUAAUGUCUAACUGCCCCUUCUCGUCUUCGGCCAUUGUCGGCUAUUAUCGGCUGUGAUGUAAGAAAUGGCACACCCUCCGAUCCUUCGGCGUAAACACACACACACGCACACACACGUCGUUAUUUGGUUUAUUGCCACGUAUUUUGCUAUUUCACAAUGUUUUAUCUGGUUGUACUAAUGGUGCGGGCAGUGACAAGAGCUUCUUUAGCUUUCCAAGCUAUAAAAAAGCAAUACUAGACCAGUGGAUUCUCGAGAGUCGAUUAGGAGGGGGAAGCUGCACAUCUGUUGCUGCUGCCGAGCAAGUCUAACUAACUUUUGAACCGCCAUGUUUUCAGAAACAUUUAGCAGAAAGUAUUGGAUACGUAGGAUACUUCGAGCCAGGCUGAAACCAGCUGCAGUGACAACGAUUUUCCCUUCAAGAGUCAAGUCUUCAACCAGGACACCGCCUGCCAUGAUAAUGGGAAAAGCGGCAUGUACAGUACAUGACACGGCACCUUCACCAAUCUUGUGUCCUUUUAAGAAGAACGGGGUUCUACUGGCUGGAUAGCAGUUUACAAGGAAAUGUGGGCUAGAUAGAUAGCUAGAUUGAUAGAUAAACAGACAGACAGUACCUCACAAAAGUUUUUCAUUUAAGUAUUUAUAGAGCAAAUAUUUUAUUAUAUCUUCAUCACUGAAGCAGUGGUUUAGGUUUGCAGACAUGCUUAGCCUAUACGCUAAGCUGCCUUACCAAGGCCUGUUUCGCGCAACACACACUUGACACCAUUUAAAGAUGUUAGGAUUUGUGUACGCUCUUCCACUGAAAGGGCCUGAGAUGUAAAAGUGCGCAUGUGUAAAAAUAAAAAGUAGUUCCGGUUUUGCACUACC